CAGGCACUGUUGCUGUUAGCCCCAAUCCUCCUCCAAAUGUUGCUUCAACUUGCAGCUUUCCCUCAAGUAGCACAGGGGCAAACACAGGCACCACACCAACCGGGACAACCAACACCGGGUCAACCACC